AGUCCCGCAACGAGCGCAACCCUUGUCACUAGUUGCCAACACGUAAUGGUGGGGACUCUAGUGAGACUGCCCGGGUGAACCGGGAGGAAGGUGAGGAUGACGUCAAGUCAGCAUGGCCCUUAUAUCUGGGGCUACACACGUGCUACAAUGGCCGGUACAGAGGGUUGCCAAUCCGUGAGGUGGAGCAAAUCCCAAAAAGCCGGUCUCAGUUCGGA
rnacentral:rRNA from 1 species